GUCCACGCCGUAAACGUUGGGCGCUAGGUGUGGGGAACAUUCCACGUUCUCCGUGCCGCAGCUAACGCAUUAAGCGCCCCGCCUGGGGAGUACGGCCGCAAGGCUAAAACUCAAAGGAAUUGACGGGGGCCCGCACAAGCGGCGGAGCAUGUGGCUUAAUUCGACGCAACGCGAAGAACCUUACCAAGGCUUGACAUACAGGGAAAUCUCCCAGAGAUGGGAGGUCCGCAAGGGCUCUGUACAGGUGGUGCAUGGUUGUCGU
rnacentral:rRNA from 1 species